rnacentral:rRNA from 1 species
GACGAACGCUGGCGGCGUGCCUAACACAUGCAAGUCGAGCGAGUGAAUCUCCUUCGGGAGUGAAACUAGCGGCGAACGGGUGAGUAACACGUGGGCAACCUGCCUCAUAGAGGGGAAUAGCCUUUCGAAAGGAAGAUUAAUACCGCAUAAGAUUGUAGCUUCGCAUGAAGUAGCAAUUAAAGGAGUAAUCCGCUAUGCGAUGGGCCCGCGGCGCAUUAGCUAGUUGGUGAGGUAACGGCUCACCAAGGCGACGAUGCGUAGCCGACCUGAGAGGGUGAACGGCCACAUUGGGACAGAGACACGGCCCAGACUCCUACGGGAGGCAGCAGUGGGGAAUAUUGCACAAUGGGGGAAACCCUGAUGCAGCAACGCCGCGUGAGUGAUGACGGCCUUCGGGUUGUAAAGCUCUGUCUUCAGGGACGAUAAUGACGGUACCUGAGGAGGAAGCCACGGCUAACUACGUGCCAGCCGCCGCGGUAA